rnacentral:rRNA from 1 species
UACGGGGGGGGCAAGCGUUGUUCGGAAUUACUGGGCGUAAAGGGCUCGUAGGCGGCCAACUAAGUCGGACGUGAAAUCCCUCGGCUUAACCGGGGAACUGCGUCCGAUACUGGAUGGCUUGAGUUCGGGAGAGGGAUGCGGAAUUCUUGGUGUAGCGGUGAAAUGCGUAGAUAUCAAGAGGAACACCUGAGGUGAAGACGGGUUGCUGGGCUGACACUGACGCUGAGGCGCGAAAGCCAGGGGAGCAAACGGG